CAUUAACAGGAAGAGGAUUUUCAAGAGUUAAAACACAAGCAACGCAGUUCAGGAAGAAAACGAGCAAAAAAACACCAGAAGAAAUUACAUUCUGUGCUUCUGCGUCUAGAAAAACACCUGCAAAAGGAACGUAAAAGAGAAGGAAAAAUUCAAGAAAAGAUACCAAAGACUGCUGAAAAAAAAACUGUCUCCAAGAUCCAAGAUAAACCGUGAGUUCCGACCUUUGCCCAAAGUGGUCAGAAAACGUCUCCUUUUCCACACUGCCUUUACUAAAGACCUCAGUGACCGGUAUCGUAAAGCCAAUGGUGAGAAAGAGAAACAAUUAAUUGCAAAAAUAUGUGCAGGGGGAAAGAUAGUACGGAAGUACAGGCUCCAGAAGUAUGCAGAAACACUUUUGGGCUUCUCAAGAAGAAGGUGGAAACACUCUGACAAAGACCCACUCACAUUCAAACGAAAAAGAAACACCCGGACAGCUGAUGAAAUCAAGAAUUGUGUGAAGUUGUUCUUUGAACGGGAUGACGUGAGCCGUUUGACGACUGGUAGGAAGCAGACAAAGACAAAGAACAAACUUAAAAAGCAGAAACGAUUCCUAAUGGACACAAUGGUAAAUGCACACAGGAAGUUCUUGUCUGAAUAUCCGGAAAGAAGGGUUUCUUACUCUUUAUUUUGUCACUUGCGUCCGUUUUGGGUGGUGACCCCAACCCUGUCUGAGAGAGAAACCUGUUUGUGCAAGAUGCAUGAACACCUUGGCUUCAUCACAAACAAGCUCUACCACCUGAAGCUACUAACAUACUGUAACACAGAGGAGUUGGUAGAACAUGUUGUAUGUGACCCCCGCAAAAAGGACUGUAUGUACGGCCAAUGUGAUGAGUGCAAGCUGAACAACUUCCCCAUUAUUACACCGUAUGAACCCACAACCCUGGUCUCAUACUCACAGUGGGUAACGGAGGAAAAAAAGUGUUCAGAAACUGUGUCAUAUAAAAUGACGAUUAAAAAAGAGAUGGAGGGGACACUGGAAAGCCUCCUUGACCUUUUCAAUGAACAGCUGUCAAAAUUCAAGAGGCACGUCUUUAACAUCAGACAACAGUUUGCCUUUAGCCGAGCACUGAAAAAGGAGCUGUCCCCUGAUGAGUGCAUAAUUCAUGUGGAUUUUUCCGAGAAUUAUGGGUGCAAAUACAGUUCCGAGAUUCAAGCUGUCCACUUCGGCGCAUCCCACCAACAAGCCACUCUUCAUACAGGUGUGCUUUAUCUAGGUCCAAUUGCAAAACCAAUCUGUUUCAGCACUGUGUCCCCGUCCCGACAGAAAGGACCUGCUGCAAUCUGGGAACAUCUCAGGCCUGUUACGAAUUACAUCAAGCAAGAGCACCCCACGGUGAAGGUGCUUCACUUCCUUAGUGAUGGGCCCUGCUCACAGUACUGCCAACGUGGUAAUUUCUACCUCUUCUGCACGGAAUAGUACCAAAGAGGCUUUGGAAAGGGCACUUGGAAUUUCUUUGAGGCCAAUCACGGUAAGGGCGCCCCUGAUGGAGUUGGAGGUGUAUUAAAGAGACUUGCAGAUGACCUUGUCAGCAAAGGCAGUGAUAUUCCAGAUGCAAGGUCUUUGUUUUCAGCAUUGGCCAGAACCGAAACCUCCAUCAAGCUGUUUUUUGUGGAAGAGGAGGAUAUAGAGAAGGCAAUUCAGGCCAUGCCACCGAACAUCCCACCAGUCCCUUCAACAAUGCGCCUGCAUCAGGUCGUGACACAAGAUAGCGGUACCCUGAUCUGCCGUGAUGUCAGUUGCUUGUGUGCAGCUACCACAAAGAGGCUUGAGUGCCAGUGCCCUGGCUCCUGGGCCUUCACCUUUCUGCCCGACCAAACACCGAGCCUACCCGCAGUUGAUUGGACCAGGACAGACACCAUUGGAAUGUGGUGUAUGGUCAGAUAUGAUGGUGACAUUUACCCUGGGAUAGUCACUGCAACAGAUGACACGGCAAUCCAGGUCAAAUGUAUGCACUGUGGAGGGCCAAAUAAAUUCUACUGGCCCAGUCAUGAGGAUGUUAUCUGGUACCUCCAUGACGAUGUACUUUGCUUCAUCCCAGCCCCACUACCAAUCACUGGUCGCCAUGUUGCGAUCCAGAGCGAUACAUGGUUGGAUCUUACAAAGAAGUAAAAUUAUAUAUUUCUCCAUUUAAUGUGAUAUGCACAUUCAAGGGAUGGAUUCAUUUGUGCAGUUAUUUUCCUAUGGCACUACCUCCUUUUAAUUUCUAAUAUGUUUGUACAGCUGUUUGUCGCUGUUACACAAAGGUUAUACACUUGCCAAAAGUUCUCAGAUGUGUAUGCAUUUACUUUUAUCCUUGCCUAAGGGUAAGGUAUGUUUCCAGUUUUAAUGUGAAGAUGAUACACUUUCAUAUGUCAUGAUUUGUAUGGCUGUUCUCUAUCUUCAAUGAGUUAUGUAAUGUGUGAUAAGUGUUAACGUUUUUUUACCUUCUACCUAAUCUAUCUCAAUAUGAAAUUUUACCAUCUACCUAAUCUAUCUAAAUGUGAAUUUUGAUACCUACUUCAGAGAGACUUGUGAUGUAAGAUAGGUCUUCAUGGUCUGGUUUUAAUGUUGCCAGUUGAUUUCUCUGACCAGUGUACUGAGGAUCAGUUUAAAUUAAAGUAACAUUCUUCUAAA